rnacentral:ribozyme from 1 species
AAUGAAAAUGAAAGCAGUGAAAGAGCCUUGAAAUCGAAAAAGAAGAGGAAAAAAAUCGAAAAACGAUAAAAACGUCAUGUCCAAGCAUGUCUCAAAUCCCGCCACCUCUUUCCCCUCCUCCUCU